AUUGAACGCUGGCGGCAGGCCUAACACAUGCAAGUCGAACGAGUGGCGGACGGGAGAGUAAUGUCUGGGAAACUGCCUGAUGGAGGGGGCUAAAUACUGGAAACGGUAGCUAAUACCGCAAAACACAAUCUGCGCCCAGAGGGGAUUAGCUAGUUGGUGGGGUAACGGCUCACCAAGGCGACGCUCCCUAGCUGGUCUGAGAGGAUGACCAGCCACACUGGAACGUAGACACGGUCCAGACUCCGACGGGAGGCAGCAGUGGGGAAUAUUGCACAAUGGGCGCAAGCCUGAUGCAGCCAUGCCGCGUGUAUGAAGAAGGCCUUCGGGUUGUAAAGUACUUUCAGCGGGGAGGCGUUACCCGCAGAAGAAGCACCGGCUAACUCCGUGCCAGCAGCCGCGGUAAUUC
rnacentral:rRNA from 1 species